rnacentral:tRNA from 1 species
UGCCGGGUCGUCUAACGGUAGGACUAUGGACUCUGGAUCCAUCAAUCGGGGUUCGAAUCCCUGCCCGGCAG